AUAAAUCUCCCCCGAGGUGUAGUGCUAUUUCUCCCCACUAUAUAGAUUAUAUAUAUGGCAUAUCUCCCCGAGCAAGUUGUCUCUAAGCAGAUGGGGGGAGCCUAACGUCUCUGAUGUCUCCCGUUUAUGGCACUCACACAGAGAAAAUAAUCCCGUUCUCCAUAGCAAACCUUUAAAAGCAACAGGAGUAUGGAGGACAUUAUAAAGAGGCUGUCUUGACUCUCCAGAUAGGAGAUAAUGAAAACAAACCAAAUGGAAACUCGAACCGACCCCGGAACACGUCGUCCAUCACUGCCUUCAUCUUCGUUACUAAACCCUCUCCUCUAUCGUCUGUAAGCAAGGUCUGCAACUCUGCCAGGAACUCUGCAGAGGGAUCACGGACAAGUGGCUGUCCCAGCAACUGACGCCCCUUAUCUGUGCAACAGGAGCCUCAAUUUCCCCCAUCAUCUUCAGAAUACAAUGCCAGGGAGGCCUGCCCCUUGUCUCUGGAGAACCAUCAUUUUGUGAAAUGUAGAAUAAGUACGUAAC